UACUUCAUUCAAUGUCAUUAUUCACUAAUUGUAAGAUGUCAGACGCUAGAAUUAAGAAGUUUAUUCUCUUUGUCGCAUUUGGUGAUUUGACAAUCUGCAACGCUAGAAGAGACUUACGGAUGCGAAGUCUUGCCGCUACUUUCAAACAAAUCCAACAGGAAAACGUGAUAAAUAAUGAAGCCCAGACAGCCGGUCAGCCUCAACCACGAACGGAUGAAGCUACCACGUUAACAGUGGCGACGAGUGAAGAAAUGAAAAAAAGUCUAGUGGUGGAUGCACCAGUGAAAAAUUAAGAAUUUUAAAUUAAGUGUUUAGAAUGUUUAAUUUUAUUGUGAUGUGUUGAUUUAAUGUAAGAAGUAUUUUAUGGAGAGCAAAUAAUUUUGAAAUAAUUGAUGGGGUUUUUUUAAAUGAAGCUAUCGUUUCUAUUUCUGAAUAAUAUAUUGUGCGAGUCUAGAUUGUUUAAAAACAGGAUGAUUUAAUCAAACCACUUAUUUUUAAGCACUUUUUUUUGUAUAAAAUUUCCUAUUUUUAGGAAGCACUUGUUAUGACAUGUGGUUUAAACUUGAUUUGUUUCUUAUCGCAAUGAAAGUCAGAGAGGUCAGGUGAUCCUUGGCAUUUAUAAAAGGCUAGCGCGCAAACACCCUCGAGAUAUUUUGUAAGUGAACUUCCUCUCGGCAACAUGCUGCCCUGCAAAGUUUGGUUGCUCUUUGUGGCAUCACUGGCCUGGUCUUCUAACAUGGCAAAGGCCAAUCUUGAGCCCCAAGAUGAGGAAAAUGAAAUAGAUCAGGAUCAGCCAUUAUAUACAGUUUCAAAUUGGCUAGACUACGACAUUCAACCAAUGCCUUCCUAUGACGAGGAGCCUACUAUUGAAGAGCUGACCACGAUGCAACCAACACCGGAUUCAACUACUAAUUCAUCGAUUUGGAAGUCUUUCCUUCUUGGUUUUUUGAAUUCCGCUAAAAGGUUGCUAAAUGAUAGGAUCAAGGAUAGAGCUGCAUUGAGAUUUGCAAGGUAUCUCUACCGCGCCGGCAAGAAGCUGGGUUCUCGUAGCAACGGUAAAAGUGAAUGGAGACCAAAUCAGCUGCAUGAGAAAAAGUACUGAAAGGCUCUCUAAAGUUUUUCUAGACGUUUUUACUAAAAAUAACCUUCCAAAACAAUGUUCCAAUAGUUAUUUAAUUCCAUCAAUUUUAUUUUUCACUCAAUAAACCUGGUCAUUUUUCGUGGAAAAGGUUUUGUUUCUUUGAUUGAUUUCAUCAUUAUUCAUUAAAAGGCUACAUAAAUUUCAACUGUUUAUAAUACAGA